GGUCAUUUGCCUUCUGUAAUUUUACAGACUGCAUGGUUCUGGAAAAGACCAAAGCUGUAGCUGCCCUUGCAUAGGGUCUCUGCCAUAUGGCAUUAUAUGAUGCUAAGAGCCUGCAGGAGAUUGGAUCAGGCACAAAUCACAUUUUACUGCUAGCCUCUGCAUAGAGCUUUUCAACUUUGGCAUCCUAUCAAAAACAUGCACAAAUCAGCACCUGCUG